UACGAAGGGGGCUAGCGUUGCUCGGAAUCACUGGGCGUAAAGGGUGCGUAGGCGGGUUUUUAAGUCAGAGGUGAAAUCCUGGAGCUCAACUCCAGAACUGCCUUUGAUACUGAGAAUCUUGAGUACGGGAGAGGUGAGUGGAACUGCGAGUGUAGAGGUGAAAUUCGUAGAUAUUCGCAAGAACACCAGUGGCGAAGGCGGCUCACUGGCCCGGUACUGACGCUGAGGUGCGAAGGCUAGGGGAGCGAACGGG
rnacentral:rRNA from 1 species